rnacentral:rRNA from 1 species
GAUGAACGCUAGCGAUAGGCUUAACACAUGCAAGUCGAGCGACCGGCGCACGGGUGCGUAACGCGUAUGCAACUUGCCUCACAGAGGGGGAUAACCCGUCGAAAGACGGACUAAUACCGCGUACUGUGAGCUAGGCAUGCGUCCCAUUAGCUAGUUGGUGAGGUAACGGCUCGCCAAGGCAACGAUGGGUAGGGGAACUGAGAGGUAGACCCCCCGCACUGGUACUGCGACCCAGACCAGGCUGGUACGGAGGGGAGCAGUGUGGAACAUUAGUGGAUGAGCGAGGGCCUAGACCAGCCGAGUGGCGGAAAGAGUGACUGGCUAUGAAUUGUAAGCUUCUGUUGUAGGAGAAUAUGUACCCUACGAAUAAGCAUCGGCUAACUCCGUGCCAGCAGCCGCGGUAAUAC